AGCGUAGACGGAUGGGCAAGUCUGAUGUGAAAACCCGGGGCUCAACCCCGGGACUGCAUUGGAAACUGUUCAUCUAGAGUGCUGGAGAGGUAAGUGGAAUUCCUAGUGUAGCGGUGAAAUGCGUAGAUAUUAGGAGGAACACCAGUGGCGAAGGCGGCUUACUGGACAGUAACUGACGUUGAGGCUCGAAAGCGUGGGGAGCAAACA
rnacentral:rRNA from 1 species